CCCAUCCCGAACACGGAAGUUAAGCUCUUUUGCGCCGAUGGUAGUUGGGGGUCUCCCCCUGUGAGAGUAGGACGUCGCUGGGC
rnacentral:rRNA from 1 species